AGCAGUUUAACAUCUGAAUCUCUGGGCUGGAACACGCAACCUUUCACCGAAGCACGAAGGAAGGGAGGGAGGCGAGGAGGUGGGGGGGGGGGGGGAAGUCGCAAAAACCUGCGGACGAGGCGGAGGGACCGGCUUUGCCCGAGCGCUUGCGACAAGCGGACAGAACAACAACAAAACACCCAAAAGCCCGCUGCAGGCGGAGUACACUCAGUCCGGUGCUGCUCGGUGGCCCCUUUGUUCCCGGCGGGGGGACAGGCGAGGCGUGAACCCCCCAGCCUGCUGCCCACACGCCAUGGGACGGGCCCCUUCCCAGCGGGGCUGCUCGGCAGGGCCCGACCCUCCUCUCCUCUCCUCUCGGCGGAGCGGGGAUAUGAUAAAAGGAGACAGGGCUCUGAAAGGAUUUGAUUGAGAUGGCGUGUGCCAAGCUGAUGGGAGCCAGCGAGGGACAAAGCGCCGAGGAGCCAUGGACACUCGAGCAAUUAUUCCUCCACGCUGAAGGUGGAUUAGCGCAAUGGAAAGAAGCAUAUGUUCGGCCUGGGGCGACACUCCCCCUGGCUGGGUUUAGAGAAUGAGAGAGGAGAAAGAGGCUGAACCUGGAAUAUCAACUAUCCGGGAGACAGCCCAGCCGCCCCCCCCCUCUCCCAGCCUCUCCAAAAGUCCCGGGGAUGGAUGGCAGGAUAAAUAUGCACAGCCCUGUAGAUCAACGGGCACCCACGCGUAUACCCACAGAGAGCUGCACACACCUCUGUGCACAGCCAUUGCAUCCUUUGGCGUGGGCACACAGAGACAGAAAGACAGAAAGGUGGGAAAACCCACUCGGGUGUGACAAAGAGAGCAUGAACAGCCUGCCUAUUGAGGGGCCUUGCAGCACCCACUCCGCUAGAGGCUCAGCCCCUCCUGAAACUUUCUGAAGGUGGCUGUGGUGAGGGAUGGGGUCAUCCCCAUGCCUCACACCAGGCCCAGCCUGGAAGAUGCGUGGCAGACUUCUCAGUUCCCCCUUUCCUUCUGCUCCUGCAAUGCAUCCUGCAGGCACUCUGCAGGGUGAGAAGGAUGCACUCUACUAGGAGAGAGAGAGGGAAAAGGAGGAAGGCCGCUCUCCCCAUCCUCCUGGGAGCUCCAAAGUUGUGCCCCAAGUAUUUCACUUCCACUUCUUUAUCCUCAGGCAGACCUAAUAUAGGGGCUGGCAGCACGAGGGCAGAAAGCUCCGCAGGAUGGACAAGCCAGUAGGAACAUAACCAAAGCCAUUGCAUGGAAGAAAUAUACAUCCCCAAGAUUGCAGUGGCACAGAGUGCAACAACUCCCGCCAGAAAAAAAGCUCAGCUCAAAGCCCCUGCAUCUGCUUUCAAUAGUCAGUUACAAAAGGAAUUAACCACACCACAGGCAACAACAGCAGUGGGGCUCAAGAGUAUCUCUGGAUGGGAAAGAUCUUCAUGCUGUCCACGUCCUAUAGAAGCUGGCACUUCAGUGCACGUUCUUUACACUUGGCUGUCCUUCACCUUCCUGCUCUGAAAACACGGCUAUUCCUUCUGCCCCAGGAUGUACUUCCCCACUUUCUCUUCCUUCACCUGGUCUAAAGGUGCCUGUGCAAACGAGCUGUGUGGCUACACACAGAUCAGGAAUCCAGGAGCUUGCAGGAACCUUGGAGCCCUGGUUCAGAGAGGGAACCCACGUGCUUGCCAUACAGGGCAGAGAUGGUUUUGGGUGGUGGUUCUUGCCCUGUAGGAUUAGGGUGUGAAGGAAAGCCAGUCUGGAGACAGUGGGUCCUUCCCACUCCACCAGAAAGCUCUCGGUUGCCUCAGCCUGAUUUCCACUUUGGUUUGCUCAGUGGAUGCGCUCCAACCACUCUACUGGAGAGAUGAGAAACGUUGGCCCUUUAGUCUGAGCCACCAAAGCUAACCUCUGCAUCAUAGAGACAUGACUACACAGAUGGUAACAGGGAAUAAAGGCCACAGGUCUGUCACCUUCAUACCUACAGCACCUGGCACCAAAAUGGAGGGGUAAGAGUGCAAGGACACAAAUCUUGCUUUCCACAACAAACUAUACUUCUGUUCACCCUUCCCAAAGCAUCACCCUCUGUACCUGCUCAAGAAAGUCUACAGACUUCAACCAGAAGAAUAGAAACAAGGCUGAUUUGCUCAUCUCUAGUAGUAAACAGUCAUGAAAGACUUUCACAUUUCCUCUGUUUCCUAUUGCUUAUUUUAAAUUACCUAUUUUGGGAAGUUUCGGGUUAUUCAACUAAAUAUUGCAAACGGAGAGGCUGCACCCUAUGCGGAAUAAAUGACCUAAGAACCAGGCUUGGCUGUUUUCUUUUUUCCUCCAUCCCAGAGAUAAAAAGAAGGAACACAUUUUAGUAAUCCCCGCUCAUUUUCACGGCCAUUCGUGCACCUGUAACUCAAAUAAUGAAGCCAUUUGUUAUUUAUAUUGCACUUACCCCUCCAUUCUAGAUUUCUAACGAUCUGACCCUGUUUUAUGGCCCCGACAAAGCCUGAAACUGGUGUGGACUUCCAAUAAUUGAACAAUAUAGGGAAAAAUCUUUAAUUGGAAUGAAGCAGAUGUUAGCUUCAUGCAGUCCUCUAACUUGAUUAUUCUUUGGACAUGUUAGACAAGCAUUAGUGAUUGAUAAUGACGCUAAUUAACCCCUUUCCUUUCCAAAACAGCUAACCAAUGCCAGCGGGAUUCUGCAAACAACACACCCAACGUACUGCAUAUAUCACUAUCUGUUUAGAGUGGAUUAGAGUCACAACCACACCACCCGAAAUCUUCUCCUGCCGACACCGAGCAGGCUCCAAAUACUCCUUAAUAGUUCCCAGCGCUGGCGGAGGAGCAGCACAGCCACUUAGGAAAGGCGCGUGGGACAGAACCAGACGCACAGUGCAUUUUGCAAACUCCCAAGCUUUCAUGUUCGGCUGUGGAGCUGUUUCCAUCCCAUUGCCUUCGCUGGCUGGGAUGGGCUCGACGCUGCUCCCCGUCAGAGCGACGUUUGUUAUUUCAGCCACACUCCUGGAACGCGAGGGCUGGCACUCUGAGAACUCGGGCUGGGCUGAGACACGCACGUGGUGAGGAGGGAAAGGGAAGCGCACACGCCGGGAUUUCAAUGCGAGGCAGGAGAUGAGCAAACAAACAAGGAGCUGAUCUGAUUACGCAGUCAGAUUUAUCAAGGGCAAUAAAGGAAUCGCCUUCAAAUGUAAGGGUUUGGAGAAAUGAAUACUGCUAGCAAGUGAAUAAAAUGUAUUCAAUUAACUAAAAACCUCGUGCACUUCUGAACUGAAGUGGAAUCGACUGUAAUUGAUUUAUUUGAAACCAGAGGUUAAGGACUGAAUUAGCUAAGUACAACUGGGUAUUUCAAGCCACUGACUUCUCAAAUGUCAAAUCCCUUCUAUUUUAAAUAUUAUUUCAGCUGCGGGGCAUCGCUGUCCUGAUGGCUGUUCCACCAGUUAAAUCUCAAAUUAUAUUAAUAUUCGAUUUUUGGAGGGUGGGGUAAAUUACGGUACAAAGAGGAGGGCUGUCCUUAUUCACGGCGAACGAGCACCGAGCCGUCGUUAGGUUCACGUGCAGAAAUCAGCACGGCGUGGCAGCCCUGGUCUAACAUUCAGCCACUCACCCUGACUCCAGCCAAUCUGGAGGAGAAAACAACAGCAGAUUUUUGUUGGUGUCUGGAAGUCUGACCUAGAAUUUGACUGCUGUGCGUUGAGCGCAACGGUACGAACGCAUCCAAAGAACGGCGAAGUAAUUAGCACGUUUUUGUAACCACGCCUCGGUCGCAGCAGAAGAGGCUGAGCUGAAGCCAGUCUGAUUUCCAUCCUCGCCUGCAAAGUCCCUCCUCAGAAAUAACAGCCAUAAAGAUAUCUAUGCAAGGUCAUUUCAUUUCUGCUUUCCGGUGGCUAGCAAAUGCAGCAGAAGGAUGCUUGAAAUGUGCUCUCCUAGCAUAGAGUAGCUAAUUAUAUCUUUAAAACAUUAUUUAUUACGACCUUAUAAUGUUCUAGCAUAAGACCGCUUUAUACAUCGCCCAGUAUAAAACGAUUAUAUUGGGUACAGGUUUCAAAAAGUAACAAGCAUCUGUAAAUCCAGAUCCGAAUGAAUGGUAUAUAAUAAGAUUGUUUUCGUUUAAAAAUGAGUAUUUAUGUGUUGCUGUGGAAAGAGCAGCAAUGUAUUGCUGUUUAUGAAUGCUAUUGUGCCUGAGGUUAGGAUCCCACACACAAUCUGAGAUGCAGCCAAGAAAAACAGCCCUGAUAGACAAUGCUUCACUUCACCUGCUACAAUACUGUGCAUUUCAUUUAUGUCAAGAAUAUGUACAGUUAGGGUUCAUUCACCUCAUUAUUUUGUUACAUCUACUUUACAGUUAACCAGUCUCUCUCGGAAACAAUAAAUAACUGUUUUUUAAAACAAUUGCGGCUUUGCAUUCAAAAGAUGCACUUUCAAUUUAUAAGGAAAAAAUAUUCAGCGCUUUUAUAAACUGGCUGGCUCUCGAAAAUAGAAUUUAGACGCCACCAACUCUCUUUCUGCUUGGCAAGAUUGAUUUUACACUGCCUCCCAUAAGUAGAUUACCAAAGCAAAAUGAAACAUCUUGGGCUUUAUCUAAUGCUUUGCUUCACCAGCCCUACCAAACGUCAGAAUAUAUGAGCAAAUGUUAAUUCUCUUUGCAGCUUUAUUGUAAACACCUCCCUCUUAACCUCCACCAUUUCUGCCUGAGCAAAAGGGAAAAAGAAAGGGAAAAAAAAAAGAGAGAGAGAGAACAGGAGGGGGGGGAGAGAGAGAGAGAGAGAUAGAGAGGCAGAGGCAGGAAAGGGAAAGAGAGAAAAAUCAGCCACCAGUACCAAAAUAUCAUCAUCCCUUCAAGGAGACCAUCUCUUUAAAAAGCCUUUACAAUCUUAACUGCAUUAGUCCCUUCUGUGAUAUAACAUAAUCCAGCCCGAUGCUGACUUCACCUACCCCCCUGGGCCAAAGAAAAUAGAUUCAAAGUCGGAAUUCUCACACGUUUUUACAACCCAUCUACAAGACGUGCGCUCCGUUCUUUUCAUUAUCAUUUUUUAAGGCAAACUUCCCUAUCUUACAACCACAAGAAGAAACUUCAGCUAAAACCCUCGGCUCCUCGCAAACGGAGGCAGCCAUCUCAAAAUGCCAACCUGCGCCUCCCACCCAAACACAAACCAUCCAUCAGAACGAGUCCGUCUCCCCCAGGAUUGCACUAAAGUUCACAGCCGUGAGGUGACGUCGGCACAAACUAUGGAGCUUUUCGUUUCCAGCACCCAGUUCUGAUUCGCCAGUGCGUUCCUUUUUCCUUCGCAACGCCUAAUUUUCAGUACUGGCUUAGCAGUAAUUCCUUUAAUAACGUCUUUCCUGAGAUAGAUACCAUUUUCUUUUCUCCCUGCUCUCCUGCAGGACAACUACACGUAGAAAAUGGUACAGGCUUUAUAAUUCUGUACGCUGCGGAUAAACAUAAAUAAAAACCUAGAGGUCAACAUAAAUAAAAUAAAACUUUAUUUUUUUUUUUUUUCUUUAAAUAAAAUUAUGUUUUGGUUAAAGAAAAGAUAGCGUGUCAUUUUGUUAGUAGUACAGACAAUUUUUUAUCCAAAAGAAUACAUUGUGCUUUAUUGUGUCGUUUGUCUGAAUACAGACUCGGUGGAAUAUCUAAAUGAUACCCUGCUCUGAACUCCAAGUUGAAAGUAAGUUUUUAUUAUACUUGAGGGAAACAAUGGGUUCAGCUGCUUAUUGCAAGGAGCAAUUGUCAAGGGAGAGUUAAACUCAAUUACUGUAACCAUACUGAAUAAAAAAUACUGCCAAGAACAAAAAUACGCCUGGGUAAAGACAGCCACUGAAUAAAAAAAUCGACAUAAAGCGUAUCAAAUAUUUAUUUAUCUGGGCAACAAAGGACUAUGAUACAUUGACAGGCAUGGAAACUACUGCCGGCACAACUCAAUACAAUACAACUAUAACUGCUUCCAAUAUGGCCAGUGGAAAUACAGGAUACCAGGUGGUCCCGGAUGUGUGAAGUUCUUUGGAAAAAGGAAAAAGAAGAAGAAAAAAAAACACACACA